GACGAACGCUGGCGGCGUGCUUAACACAUGCAAGUCGAACGGAAAGGCCCCUUUGGGGGUACUCGAGUGGCGAACGGGUGAGUAACACGUGAGUAACCUGCCCUUGACUUCGGGAUAACUUCAGGAAACUGGGGCUAAUACCGGAUAGGAAUCCUUGCUGCAUGGUGGGGGUUGGAAAGCUUCGGCGGUUUUGGAUGGACUCGCGGCUUAUCAGCUUGUUGGUGGGGUAGUGGCUUACCAAGGCUUUAACGGGUAGCCGGCCUGAGAGGGCGACCGGCCACAUUGGGACUGAGAUACGGCCCAGACUCCUACGGGAGGCGGCAGUGGAGAAUAUUUCACAAUGGGCGGAAGCCUGUUGCAGCAACGCCGCGUGCGGGAUGACGGCCUUCGGGUUGUAAACCGCUUUCAGCAGGGGCGAAGCUUGUGGUGACGGUACCUGCAGAAGAAGCACCGGCUAACUACGUG
rnacentral:rRNA from 1 species